UACGUAGGGUGCAAGCGUUGUCCGGAAUCAUUGGGCGUAAAGAGCGUGUAGGCGGCCCGAUAAGUCCGCUGUGAAAGUCCAGGGCUCAACCCUGGAAUGCCGGUGGAUACUGUCGGGCUCGAAUCCGGAAGAGGUGAGUGGAAUUCCUGGUGUAGCGGUGAAAUGCGCAGAUAUCAGGAGGAACACCAAUGGCGAAGGCAGCUCACUGGGACGGUAUUGACGCUGAGACGCGAAAGCGUGGGGAGCAAACAGG
rnacentral:rRNA from 1 species